AAGGGAAAGCAAAUCAUGCAGUCGAGCGAGCUUGCCUAGAUGAUUUUAGUGCUUGCACUAAAUGAAACUAGAUACAAGCGACCGUCGGACGGGUGAGUAACACGUGGGUAACCUGCCCAAGAGACUGGGAUAACACCUGGAAACAGAUGCUAAUACCGGAUAACAACACUAGACGCAUGUCUAGAGUUUGAAAGAUGGUUCUGCUAUCACUCUUGGAUGGACCUGCGGUGCAUUAGCUAGUUGGUAAGGUAACGGCUUACCAAGGCAAUGAUGCAUAGCCGAGUUGAGAGGCUGAUCGGCCACAUUGGGACUGAGACACGGCCCAAACUCCUACGGGAGGCAGCAGUAGGGAAUCUUCCACAAUGGACGAAAGUCUGAUGGAGCAACGCCGCGUGAGUGAAGAAGGGUUUCGGCUCGUAAAGCUCUGUUGGUAGUGAAGAAAGAUAGAGGUAGUAACUGGCCUUUAUUUGACGGUAAUUACUUAGAAAGUCACGGCUAACUACGUGCCAGCAGCCGCGGUAAUACGCAGGUGGCAAGCGUUGUCCGGAUUUAUUGGGCGUAAAGCGAGUGCAGGCGGUUCAAUAAGUCUGAUGUGAAAGCCUUCGGCUCAACCGGAGAAUUGCAUCAGAAACUGUUGAACUUGAGUGUAGAAGAGGAGAGUGGAACUCCAUGUGUAGCGGUGGAAUGCGUAGAUAUAUGGAAGAACACCAGUGGCGAAGGCGGCUCUCUGGUCUGCAACUGACGCUGAGG
rnacentral:rRNA from 1 species